UUCCGUAGGGNGACCUGCGGAGGGAUCAUUACUGAGUGUGGGCUCCGGCCCUACCUCCAACCCCAUGUCGAAACGACUCUGUUGCCUCGGGGGCGACCCGGCCUUCGGGCGUCGGGGCCCCCGGCGGACACCUUCAUAACUCUUGCAUCUCUUGCGUCUGAGUGAUACAUAUAAUCAAUCAAAACUUUCAACAACGGAUCUCUUGGUUCUGGCAUCGAUGAAGAACGCAGCGAAAUGCGAUAAGUAAUGUGAAUUGCAGAAUUCAGUGAAUCAUCGAAUCUUUGAACGCACAUUGCGCCCCCUGGCAUUCCGGGGGGCAUGCCUGUUCGAGCGUCAUUACACCACUCAAGCCUGGCUUGGUAUUGAGCGCCGCGGCCUGCCCGCGCGCUCCAAUGUCUCCGGCUGAGCCGUCCGUCUCUAAGCGUUGUGAAUAGCGAUCGCUUGCGAGGCCCGGGCGCGCUCGACGCCGUUAAACCCCCCAUUUUCUAUGGUUGACCUCGGAUCAGGUAGGGAUACCCGCUGAACUUAAGCAUAUCAAUAAGCGGAGGAA
rnacentral:rRNA from 1 species